rnacentral:tRNA from 1 species
GCCACCCUAGCUCAGCCGGUAGAGCAGCCGAUUCGUAAUCGGCAGGUGAGGGGUUCAAAUCCCCUGGGUGGCUCCA